GUAGGGCGCAAGCGUUGUCCGGAAUUAUUGGGCGUAAAGAGCUCGUAGGUGGUCCGCUACGUCCGCUGUGAAAAUCCAGGGCUUAACCCUGGACUUGCAGUGGAUACGGGCGAACUAGAGGUAGGUAGGGGAGAAUGGAAUUCCCGGUGUAGCGGUGAAAUGCGCAGAUAUCGGGAGGAACACCGGUGGCGAAGGCGGUUCUCUGGGCCUUACCUGACACUGAGGAGCGAAAGCGUGGGGAGCGAACAGGAUUAGAUACCCUGGUAGUCCACGCCGUAAACGUUGGGCGCUAGGUGUGGGGUCCUUCCACGGAUUCCGUGCCGCAGCUAACGCAUUAAGCGCCCCGCCUGGGGAGUACGGCCGCAAGGCUA
rnacentral:rRNA from 1 species